AAAGACUGACUCCAAAAGACGACUACAAGGGUUCUACAAAGACAUGUAACGUUACACAUUGACUGAGGGAAUGCACAAUGAGGAGAGGAGGAGAAGAUAUCGUCAUGGUCAUCUUUGGGCAUGUGGUCCAGGAAAUUCCUCAUUUGUUGCUUCCGCUUCAGAGUGCCUGCCUUUGCCGUUAUCUGCGGUGACUCCUUAACUACAAGCCAGGGAAACGGGCAGCUUUCAACCCUCACGCAAUGGCUCUGGUCAUAACUUUAACUCAAUUAGAAAUUAAUUAAAUAAAAUGUACCAAGUACUUAGGCAAAUCUUAAAA